CUCCCAGUGUCUGUGAUGAGCACCUGGAGGAGCUGGUGUGGCUGGAGCACGUGGGCUGCACUGGGAAUCCCAGCCUGUGGAGACAGAGAUGCCAGAGCUGGCCUUGGGAUGGCCCUGCUGGAUGUCAGGUUUGGGCUUCUGCCUAGAAAAAACACAUCCCUGGCAUCCACCCAAGACCUAUUUAUAGCAGGAGCUCCUAGAAGACAGUGUGACAACUCCAGAAAACAAGGAAUUGCCAAAUCAUCCUGCAGAGAGCAGCAAAUGAACCCCUGGCCACACACACCUGUGGGAGCCACGUGUGCCCAGGGCCCCAAACCCUGCUGAGGAUUGGUACCAGCUGACCUCACGAAGGAAAUGCUGAGAAGAAUCAACAAGGACAGCUUAAGGUUCCUGCACAAAAUGCCAUGUCAUGAGCCCAUGAGGUUUUUGUCCUUGUGUCAAGUCCCAUGGAAACAAACCCUGGGGACACGAUGAGCUGGUUCUCCAGUGACACGGCACACACGGUGUAUGCAAAAAUCACCUGCACUGCAGAAAUACUGAGCUCUCCAGCCCUCAAGCUGCUCUUGGCUUUGCUGCACACCUUAAAAAAGGAUGUACUGAAGGCAACACCUCUGCAGUGUGACCAGUUACAGGUACCUGCACAGCUUGUUCCAAUCAGGGCAGGUACCGAUGGAUGAGGCCACCUCCAGGCUCCAGGAUCUGAGUGAGGGAGAGUUGUGCUCACACCAAAAUGCCACUUCUGGGGCACAGAGUGCAGAACUUGAUCAGACUGUGUGGACACAAACCCUCUCAGCCACAUCUCCUCCAGGCUACUGCAGAAGGAGAAUCUGUCAGGAAGAAAUCUGCCAUCUUCCCUCAAAAAUGGAAACAGGAAAAAGAAAUCAGCUGUUUGUUGUUCCUCAAACCUUUGGGAGGCAGGACCCUGAUGGAUUCAUCACCUCACUCCUGGCUCAGGUGAGCAUGGGGCAGGCACAGUUUGUCACCUCUUUCCCCACAGCAGCAGGGUCUCUGCUUCACUCAUUCUGCACUCUGGUUCUAAGGCUGCUCUGAUGUAUUUAUUUUUAGUUUGUUGCUCUAAUCUUGUCAACAGGAAACAAUGAAAUAUCCUCUAAGAUUAAUAUGAGAGAUGAGAGAUCCAAUUAGAGCUCACAUCCUUCAAUCCUUACGGGUAAGAGCCCCUAUUACACAAUGACUAUGGGUGGGAGGAGGCCCUGUUUGAUCAAUUUGU